UAUGUGAUCGUCUCUCGCAUAUCAAUAAGCGGAGGAAAAGAAACUAACAAGGAUUCCCCUAGUAACGGCGAGUGAAGCGGGAAGAGCUCAAAUUUGAAAUCUUAAAGGGUUUCCCUUUACGAAUUGUAGUUUAAAGGAGUGUUUUCUGUUGAGGUUUUGGUAAAAGUUCUUUGGAAUAGGACAUCAUAGAGGGUGAGAAUCCCGUAUUUGACCUUUACUUUCAACUUUGUGAUACACUUUCAAAGAGUCGGAUUGUUUGGGAAUGCAGUCCAAAAUGGGUGGUAAAUUUCAUCUAAAGCUAAAUAUUGGCGAGAGACCGAUAGCGAACAAGUACCGUGAGGGAAAGAUGAAAAGAACUUUGAAAAGAGAGUUAAACAGUACGUGAAAUUGUCAAAAGGGAAGCGUUUGACACCAGUGUUGUUUUUCUGAAAAUCAAUUAAAGAACUGUUUAUGCUAAGUUGUUUAGACUUUAUCAGCUAUCUGUUUAGUUUUGAGCUUUUCUUUAAUGCACUUUUCAGUUAACAAGUCAACAUCAAUUUCUUUUGCUGUAAAAAAGCUUGAGGAAGGUGGCUUGAGAUUCGUCUUAAGUGUUUAUAGCCUCUUGCCUAUGCAGUCGGAGAGAUUGAGGUCUGCAGCGUAGAUCCUUCGGGGCUAAAUGCAUUUGUGCUAAGUUAUAGCAUUUUAUAGACAACUUGUUGACUAUGAUUUGUCUUGUAGCUUACUCGCUUAUGUUAUUUUACCUACGCUUAGGAUGUUGACGAGACUGUCGAUCUC
rnacentral:rRNA from 1 species